UACGAAGGGGGCUAGCGUUGUUCGGAUUUACUGGGCGUAAAGCGCACGUAGGUGGAUAGUUAAGUGAGGGGUGAAAUCCCAGGGCUCAACCCUGGAACUGCCUUUCAUACUGGCUAUCUUGAGUUCGGAAGAGGUGAGUGGAAUUCCUAGUGUAGAGGUGAAAUGCGUAGAUAUUAGGAAGAACACCGGUGGCGAAGGCGGCUCACUGGUCCGAUACUGACACUGAGGUGCGAAAGCGUGGGGAGCAAACAGG
rnacentral:rRNA from 1 species